ACAUGAAAAAGGCAAACUAUUCGAAAGAAUAGGACGCAAAACUAGAGGGGCUAAGGCUGCUAUCCUAUAGCGGCUACGCCAGCCAGCUACCUGU
rnacentral:ncRNA from 1 species